GACGAUGGGGGAUAAGCUUCAUCGUCGAGAGGGAAACAGCCCGGAUCACCAGCUAAGGCCCCUAAAUGACCGCUCAGUGAUAAAGGAGGUGGGGGUGCAAAGAUAGCCAUGAGGUUUGCCUAGAAGCAGCCACCCUUUAAAGAGUGUAUAAUAGCUCACUGAUCGAGCGCCCUUGCGCUGAAGAUGAACGGGGCUAAGCGAUCUGUCGAAGCUGUGGGAUGUCAAAAUGCAUCGGUAGGGGAGCGUUCCGCCUUAGAGGGAAGCAACCGCGAAAGCGGGGGUCGACGAAUCGGAAGCGAGAAUGUCGGCUUGAGUAACGAAAACAUUGGUAAGAAUCCAAUGCCCCGAAAA